GACGAACGCUGGCGGCGUGCUUAACACAUGCAAGUCGAACGGAAAGGCCCUGCUUUUGUGGGGUGCUCGAGUGGCGAACGGGUGAGUAACACGUGAGUAACCUGCUCUAGACUUUGGGAUAACUUCAGGAAACUGGGGCUAAUACCGGAUAGGAGCCCACGUUGCAUGGAGGGGGUUGGAAAGUCUCGGCGGUUGGGGAUGGACUCGCGGCUUAUCAGCUUGUUGGUGGGGUAGUGGCUUACCAAGGCUUUGACGGGUAGCCGGCAUGAGAGGGGGACCGGCGACAAUGGGACUAAGAGACGGCCCAGUCGCCAACAGUAGGCAACGGUGGGGAAUAUUGCACAGUGGGCGGGAGCCUGAUGCGGCGGCGCCGCGUUCGGAAUGACGGCCUUCUGGUUGUGAACCGCUUUCGCCUGAGACGAAGCGGUAGUGACGGUAAUGAGUGAAGAAGCACCGGCUAACUUCGUG
rnacentral:rRNA from 1 species